rnacentral:rRNA from 1 species
GUGGCAUCGUUACGAGAAGUGCCGGGGCUGUCGCUAACUCUGUGCACGCCCUGGUGCUCUCUCACAAAAUCCAUCUCACCCCCUUGGGCAUCACCGCGUGGGUGCUCUCCUUUUGGUUCGUUCCCAAAGGGGGGCGUUUGGGUUUUUAUACAAAACCACUGCAUGUGUAGAAUGUCUUACUAUUUGCGAUAAUGCGCAAUCAAUACAACUUUCAACAACGGAUCUCUUGGCUCUCGCAUCGAUGAAGAACGCAGCGAAAUGCGAUACGUAAUGUGAAUUGCAGAAUUCAGUGAAUCAUCGAAUCUUUGAACGCACCUUGCGCCCCUUGGAAUUCCGAGGGGCACACCCGUUUGAGUGUCGUGAACAUCCUUCAACCUUUCUUGGUUUCUUAACCGAGGAAGGCUUGGACUUUGGGGGUCUUUCAUUGCUGGCCUCUUUGAAGCCAGCUCCUCCUAAAUGGAUUAGUGUGGUCUGCUUUGCCGAUCCUUGACGUGAUAAGAUGUUUCUACGUCUUGGGUUUCGCACUGUCGCUUUAGACCCCGCUUCUAACCGUCUUGCAUUCAAGACAGAGUUUUAAACCUUGACCUCAAAUCGGGUGAGACUACCCGCUGAACUUAAGCAUAUCAUAAACCGGAGGAAAUUUGAUCCCAAAUUUAUUUUGGUUGGGAAAAGGAUUUUGGACUUGGAGGUUCCAUGCUCGCUUUCUUUUGAAAGCGAGCUCCUCUCAAAUGAAUCAGUGGGGUCCGCUUUGCCGAUCCUUGACGUGAUAUGAUGCUUCUACUUUUGGAUUUGGCACUGUCCCUUGCACGCCUGCUCCUAACCGUCCCCAUGGACAAUGAUCGUGCUCCGGUCGACCGUCGUCUACGUUGGCAGGCGGAUGCUGAACCCAAGAAAAGAAACCUUGACCUCAAAUCGGGUGAGACUACCCGCUGAACUUAACCAUAUCAUGAACCGGAGGAGGAAAA